GACGAACGCUGGCGGCGUGCUUAACACAUGCAAGUCGAACGGCAGCAUAAUUUGUAGCAAUACAAAUGGAUGGCGAGUGGCGGACGGGUGAGUAACACGUAGGAAUCUGCCCUAAAGAGGGGGAUAACCCGAGGAAACUCGGGCUAAUACCGCAUAAUCUCUGAGGAGAAAAGCUGGGGUAACCUGGCGCUUUAGGAGGAGCCUGCGUCUGAUUAGCUAGUUGGUGGGGUAAAGGCCACCAAGGCGACGAUCAGUAGCUGGUCUGAGAGGAUGAUCAGCCACACUGGGACUGAGACACGGCCCAGACUCCUACGGGAGCAGCAGUGGGGAAUAUUGGACAAUGGGGGCAACCCUGAUCCAGCAAUACCGCGUGUGUGAAGAAGGCCUGG
rnacentral:rRNA from 1 species